rnacentral:rRNA from 1 species
GACGAACGCUGGCGGCGUGCCUAAUACAUGCAAGUCGAACGCUUCCUACCGGUGCUUGCACCGGGAAAGAAGAGUGGCGGACGGGUGAGUAACACGUGGGUAACCUACCUACAAGCGGGGGAUAACAUUCGGAAACGGAUGCUAAUACCGCAUAGAUCUUUUUGUCUCCUGGCAGAAAGAAGAAAGACGGUUUCGGCUGUCACUUGUAGAUGGACCCGCGGCGCAUUAGUUAGUUGGUGAGGUAAUGGCUAACCAAGACGAUGAUGCGUAGCCGACCUGGGGGGGUGAUCGGCCACACUGGGACUGAGACACGGCCCAGACUCCUACGGGAGGCAGCAGUAGGGAAUCUUCCGCAAUGGACGAAAGUCUGACGGAGCAACGCCGCGUGAGUGAAGAAGGUCUUCGGAUCGUAAAACUCUGUUGUUAGAGAAGAACAAGGAUGAGAGUAACUGCUCGUCCCUUGACGGUAUCUAACCAGAAAGCCAUGGCUAACUACGUGCCAGCCGCCGCCGUAA